ACACGACUACAUUAGAUACCCCUGGUAGUCCAAGCCGUAAACGAUACUCGCUAGGUGUCGGCCACGGUGCGACCGUUGUCGGUGCCGUAGGGAAGCCGUGAAGCGAGCCACCUGGGAAGUACGGCCGCAAGGCUGAAACUUAAAGGAAUUGGCGGGGGAGCACCACAACGGGUGGAGCUUGCGGUUUAAUUGGAUUCAACGCCGGAAAUCUUACCGGGACCGACAGCAACAUGAAGGCCAGGCUGAAGACUUUGCCGGAUUAGCUG
rnacentral:rRNA from 1 species